rnacentral:rRNA from 1 species
UACGUAGGCAGCGAGCGUUGUUCGGAGUUAUUGGGCGUAAAGAGCUCGUAGGCGGUCUGUUGCGUCGGUAGUGAAAACUCAGGGCUUAACCCUGAGCCUGCUUCCGAUACGGGCAGACUAGAGGUAUGCAGGGGAGAACGGAAUUCCUGGUGUAGCGGUGAAAUGCGCAGAUAUCAGGAGGAACACCGGUGGCGAAGGCGGGUCUCUGGGCCGUAACUGACGCUGAGGAGCGAAAGCGUGGGGAGCGAACAGG